rnacentral:rRNA from 2 species
GCAUUAAGCACUCCGCCUGGGGAGUACGACCGCAAGGUUGAAACUCAAAGGAAUUGACGGGGGCCCGCACAAGCGGUGGAGCAUGUGGUUUAAUUCGAAGCAACGCGAAGAACCUUACCAGGUCUUGACAUCCUUUGACCACUCUGGAGACAGAGCUUUCCCUUCGGGGACAAAGUGACAGGUGGUGCAUGGUUGUCGUCAGCUCGUGUCGUGAGAUGUUGGGUUAAGUCCCGCAACGAGCGCAACCCUUGAUUUUAGUUGCCAGCAUUUAGUUGGGCACUCUAAAGUGACUGCCGGUGCAAGCCGGAGGAAGGUGGGGAUGACGUCAAAUCAUCAUGCCCCUUAUGACCUGGGCUACACACGUGCUACAAUGGAUAGUACAAAGGGUCGCGAAGCCGCGAGGUGGAGCUAAUCCCAUAAAACUAUUCUCAGUUCGGAUUGUAGGCUGCAACUCGCCUACAUGAAGCCGGAAUCGCUAGUAAUCGUGGAUCAGCAUGCCACGGUGAAUACGUUCCCGGGCCUUGUACACACCGCCCGUCACACCACGAGAGUUUGUAACACCCGAAGUCGGUAGGGUAACCUUUAUGGAGCCAGCCGCCGAAGGUGGGACAGAUAAUUGGGGUGAAGUCGUAACAAGGUAGCCGUAUCGGAAGGUGCGGCUGGAUCACCUCCUUUCUAAGGAA